UUGUACUUGGAAUUAACUUGUAUUUUGUUUUUCAGUUCAAGCAAUAGUCAAAGCAAGACAAACUAAUCAGAUUUGAUGGUCACAAUAAACUGAAGUAAUCGAAGACAAGCUUCCAUAAAGCUAAUUGGUAAAGAAGCAAUAGGUUAAAAAUUAGAUCAGAAGGGAAACCAGCUGCAUGUUUCUCUGGAGACAUUUGCUUAGUGAAAGUAAAUUCUGUUUUCUGCUUCAAUGGCUAAAUUUAAUCCACCUCCUUAAGCAUCGCUUAGCUGGAAAUGGUUCUUCCUCCUGAGCUUGUGUAUCUCUAAGGAAGUCUGUGUGUUGUCAGACUCUUAUACCUAGCCUCUCUAACUGAAGAUAAAGCUGGAAAUUUGCCCAGCACCCCUGAAAAGGCAAAGGGCAAGGUUUUAAUUUGGAUAAGUCACCUUGUCUCCAGGGUCAAAUCAGAGAACAUGAGCAUAGCAGGGCCUUCUGGUACUGCGUAUUAUCGAGGAGUUCUUUGGAAGGGAACACAUUUCUCUUCCAGUAAAUAUUUCAGAAAGCAGCUUCCUUGGGAAUGCUGCUGCACUGCUGGAAUGGUAUUUAUAUUUCCUUUCCUAUUAGUGCUGCUCCUGAGUUUCCUGUGAGAGCGUCUUGGAAGUAAAUGUACCUUACCAUGUCCUAAUUUGAAACUUUUUGCUGCUAAUACUGAAGUGCUUGAGACUGUAACAGCCCCAAGCAGUGGUCACGCCAGCAGGUUACUAUGUUGGAAAAUUUGGUUUGGCUUGAUUUUUCCCUCUAACUGACUUUGCUUAUUUGUCUGGCUUUGGGGAAGCUGCUGGUUUGUAUCUUUCCUUCUUAAAAGAUCUGUAUCCCAAGGGGCUGGUGUGGCAGGGGAAGGUGUUCCUUGUGCUUGGAAACAUUUAUCUGAGUUGUUUCCAACUGUAUAUGCCCUUGUUAUCCUGCUGGGUGUGACUGGGUAGUUUAGAGGGUAACAAGGUUUUUCGUUUAAAUGGUUUCUAC